CCAAUCAGGUGCUAGAUCACGGAUGAAAGAUAUGGGCUAACAUGCACUCUGUUAUUUCAGAAGCAAAUAAACACGUUGUUUUAACUCUGUACUUUUUGCCUCCACAGAUUAAACUCGCCAUAUAAUGAGACGGUCACCUCCUUUUAGUGGAGCACUAUCCAUAAGCCCGGAAUUGCGUGAUGAAGGCCUGGAUAAAACUGACUUUGUUGUUGCCUGCAAUACAUACUAUGAAACCAUGCAUAGAAAUUUCCGGUACAGCCAGAGCUAGCAAAUGUGGCUGCAGCUAAUAAGACCUCAGCCCGGAGUUGCCAGAGGAGGAAGAGGCACUUAGAGGCGAAGCAAAGUGUACUGGCUGCGGACAAAGUGGUCUUCUGGAGGGGAAUCACCGCUGACCUGAUGUUAGGCAAAGAAGAUGGUGCCGUUGAUGGAGUCUCGGGGUGGAUUGUGAGACCUCCAUCGUUCCGCAGCCAGGAGCUCAGCAAUCUGUGUGCUAAGCUGCAGGCGAGACUAGAAGCCAGUUCAAAGUGUGCAGCACUGCAUCACUGGCAUCUGCGAACUGGGCUUCCAUCUAACAGAACGCCACCGCAUACCUACGACCCCAGGCAGCAAAAAGACAUUUAAUGCCAUGACAUUAAUCUCUGGCUACUUUUUGUGUACUUAUAUUUCAUAUGUCUAUUUAAUAAAACUCUUAC